GCAACAAAAUAACUAAAUACGUCAUAAUUGAUGAAGGAAGAAGCCUUUGUUUUGCAUCGCAGAAAUAUAAUUAUUUCUCACAAUUGUAUACGUUGCGGUGUGGCAUUUGUUAAAUUUAGAUAUUGAUCGUGUAUUAUUUUUUUGAAACAAGACGAACUAUUACUGAUCUAUUUAAAAUGACUUCAGGACCAUACAACUAUUCAUACAUAUUUAAAUACAUCAUCAUUGGUGAUAUGGGAGUUGGCAAAUCAUGUCUAUUGCAUCAGUUUACAGAUAAGAAAUUUAUGGCUGACUGCCCACACACAAUUGGUGUUGAGUUUGGGACACGGAUUAUUGAAGUAGCUGGUCAGAAAAUUAAAUUGCAAAUAUGGGACACUGCUGGGCAAGAAAGAUUUAGAGCUGUCACUCGGUCAUAUUAUAGAGGUGCUGCUGGAGCGCUAAUGGUAUAUGACAUUACAAGAAGAUCCACUUAUAAUCAUCUUAGCAGCUGGCUUACAGACACUCGUAACUUGACAAACCCCAGCACUGUGAUAUUCCUGAUUGGCAACAAAUCAGAUUUAGAUGGUCAAAGAGAUGUUACAUAUGAGGAAGCAAAACAAUUUGCUGAUGAAAAUGGACUUAUGUUUGUUGAAGCUAGUGCUAAGACUGGUCAAAAUGUGGAGGAAGCCUUUCUUGAAACAGCUAAGAAAAUAUAUCAAAGCAUUCAAGACGGGCGACUGGACCUGAACGCAGCUGAGUCCGGGGUGCAGCACAAGCCGGCGUCCCCGGGCCGCCCGCUUGCUGCUCCCCCGGCUGCGCGGGAUAACUGCGCUUGUUAACCGAUCUCACGAUCAAUAUGGAUAAACCAGAAAUCAUACUUAAUGGUUAAGAAUUAUUAUCCUAGUAAUAAAUUAAAUUGUCAUAAAUUUUGUUUUGUUUUGACAUAAUUUAUAUUAGCGUACAUUCCACGUUAUAUUUUUGUUUACAAUGUUAGAGGUGUCUCAUGGGAGAGUAUUUAGCCAAGGAUACGCUAGGGGAGAAAUGUUCCACGACAUUGUACCGACGACAUGUCAAGCGAAGCCGGCUGAUUUUGCCUGACAUAUAAGACGACAACGCGCAACUUAUGUCCACAGCGACGCUGAUGUUGCCAGACAUGUCGACCAAACUCCGGCAACGUCACGCUACUACACCCAACGUCCUAGGCGAUGUGUCGCAGGACAUUUGUCCCCUAGUGUAUUCUUGGCUUUAAUAUCUUUUAUAUAAAAUAUAUUCGCAUUAUACAGUUCUUUUAAGAGUUAAUGGUAUGACUGAUCUGAAAUCUUUGUUUUCGAAUCUGUUGUGCCAGUCGCAUCUUCAGUAAUAUAAUUUUCUGUGGUAUAACAGUUUAUUCAAAUCACUUUAGUUUAUAAUUGCAUUUAUAAUAGGGCUUAUUUUGUGUUUCGAUAUAUUUUGAUUACCUUAAACAAGUUUAUAGUUAUCAAUAUUCGUCGUUAAAUACUGCAGGUUACGGGAUCCAGUAGAAAAAGUUGGAAGACAUCUUAGGUUGAACAAAUACAGAAAAGAAGUAUAACAACUCGUGAUAUUAUUAGACAAUUGAGCAGACAAAGCAACCUUAGGCCCGGCGUCCACUAUCGUUGGGUAUAGGUGCGGCUUCGGCCGUCCCUAGGUGUGCUUGCAGCUCUCAGGCGCCCGAAGGCCUCGAAACCGCCCAAGCUGUACCGAGCCCGAUUCGCACCGAUAGUAGACAUCAGGCUGGGCCGUGCUGAUGUAUAAAACAUAGGUAAUUUACUACUCGACUGUAUAAUUGUCUAAUAUUGUUGUGUGGCCUGACACUUAAAACUAUUCUCCUUAUGAGACACCUUAAAGGGUUUGAAGACAGAAAAAUCUGAGGUCUGGAGACUAUGAAUUUUCUGUGGGCUUAUAAAAAAGUUGGGCUUGUUUAAAUGUAUUAUUAUUAUUAUUUAUGAUCUAUGUAUUGUUAGUAACUUUUGUAAGUAUAUUUUAAACACUACAGGAAUUUAAAGAAUUAAAUUAUUUUAAGGCUAUACUUUAUUCAAAAAUGUUAAUAUUUGCAUGAUAAUAACAUCUUAAGUAAUCAUUUGAUAUAAUAAUCAGUAAAUCUAAUUGAAUAAAAAUAUCUAAAUACAAAAAAUUGCGUUAAGUCUGUUUUACUUGAAUAAUUCAUAGUAAGUUUAAUUUCAGUUUUUUCAUUGGAAGUUGGUUAAUUAUUACUUGUACUCGUCAAACUGUAACAUGUAUCUCGAUUUUCUCUUAAUUUUGAAUAAACCGAAAAAACAAAAUAGCAAGGGUGCUAAAUCCUGUUGUACCAACAAUAUUUAUACAUAUAAUACACAGUGUCACCUCACCUUAUUAACUUGACCAAGUGACAGCCCUCCUUAUGGUCUGGUCCGGGACAAGUAAAGAAAAAAAAACAGUUUUUGAUUUGAAGUUACAGAAGAAAAGCUUUUCACUAUCAUUAAUGAAAAUUUCUUAAAAAAUGUAGUGUUUUUUAUAAACAACAAUAAACAAAUUCAAAGAAUUUUAGGAAAAUAAGGAGGAUUAUCACUGGUCACGUUAUUGCGUUUUAAGAUACCUGUUUUUAGGUACAUAUAUUAUGAAGAAAUAGUAAUACGUAGUACAAGUUUAAUGCAUGUAUAUUUUGGUGCAGGUCUAGGUGUGAAAUUGAGUUUAUUAAAAACAAUAAUAUAGUUGUAGUUAUUAUUUUGUGACUUUCGGAGAACAAGC